rnacentral:lncRNA from 1 species
GCAGGACACGUCCUAUCUUCCAUGACUCCUUUGAUGACUGUCUGAGGGAGGGGGUCUCCCUGCUACCAGUCUUACUGCUAGACUCCAAGCUACACCCACAUGGAGUAUCUAGAAGAGACUUUGUCAACCAGGAUCUGACCAUGUCAUUUCCUGCAACAGCUCCCUGUUGUCCUGAAGAUCAACCCCACACUUCCUGACUAAAUCAACAGGCCCUGCACCAGUGGAUUCAGCUGGCCCUUCCAGCCUCAUUGCUUGGAAAUCAUGGCAGAAAUGACAGACGGCAAUUCUAGUGCCCAACACCAUUCUCUUCUCCAAGAUACCCAGCCCUGUGUCUUUUAUGGAAGCUGGGCAGAUGACUGCUUCUCAUCCUCAUCCUAGCACCUGGAGG